AUUGAACGCUGGCGGCAUGCUUUACACAUGCAAGUCGAACGGUAACAGGUUAAGCUGACGAGUGGCGAACGGGUGAGUAAUGCAUCGGAACGUGCCCGAUCGUGGGGGAUAACGCAGCGAAGGCUGCGCUAAUACCGCAUACGAUCUGAGGAUGAAAGCGGGGGACCGUAAGGCCUCGCGCGAUCGGAGCGGCCGAUGUCAGAUUAGGUAGUUGGUGGGGUAAAGGCUCACCAAGCCAAGGAUCUGUAGCUGGUCUGAGAGGACGACCAGCCACACUGGGACUGAGACACGGCCCAGACUCCUACGGGAGGCAGCAGUGGGGAAUUUUGGACAAUGGGCGAAAGCCUGAUCCAGCAAUGCCGCGUGCAGGAAGAAGGCCUUCGGGUUGUAAACUGCUUUUGUACGGAGCGAAAAAGCUCUCUCUAAUACAGGGGGCUCAUGACGGUACCGUAAGAAUAAGCACCGGCUAACUACGUGCCAGCAGCCGCCGUAAGAC
rnacentral:rRNA from 1 species